AAAAGGAUUAGGGCAUUGGCAUUGGCGGGGGAUUUCGGGAUGGAGCCGAAGAGGCAGCGAUUGUUGGUGACCUUGUCGGCUAAACUCGCCUCGUUGAGAAGGCAUGGCGGCAAAGAAGAAGCAGGUCGAGUGAUGGGUGUCGCACCCCAUGCAAAUUUAAUGAGCAUAAGAGAAAUGUAGUAUAGACUAGGAAGUGACUCCUAGGUCGUCUCUCAAGGACCAAUUUUGCGGUUCAAGAAUUAGGUCAGACACGUAGUGGGGGGAGGGUUGAAAGUGUUUUAUGAAUGCAAUAAGACUAAAUUAAAACACGCAAAUUAAAUCUAACUAGUUCAGUUGAAAACAUUAAAGUGAAGACUAAAAUUAAAGAUAAGUCACUAAAAAAACAAAAAAAAAAUUACCGGUGCUUCUAAAAAUCACAAUAUUAGUCGUGACUAACUAGAAUGCAAUGAAAAUUCCUAUCCAACUAAAGUAAUUAAAGAUGCAGCAGCACCUCACCGUUUCCUCCAUAAGACCAAAAAAAAUAAUAAAAAAAAUUAAAUCCCAUGUGCUAAAGACAAAUGAAGCAGCUCCAGGAAAAAGAAAUUAAUCACAGUCCCAAACUUCAAGGAAGUGAAUCAACAUUCUUUUGGAAUAAAAAAAAAAAGAAUUCCAUUGAUAUGGAAUUUGUCUCUAGCAAAGAAAGAGAAUUCCAGCUAUUUCUCUUAAAACCAAAAUGAUUUAGCAUCUCACAAAAUGAAUCUCCAUUGCAACUGCUUCUAUUAUCGUGCACCAUACCAAAUUACCAUUUUCCAUCCAGAAUAAUAAUAAAUGCAAGUUGAAUCUAUUCCCAAAAAAAAAACAGAAUAUAAAACCAUAAAAUACUUAAAUAACUCCUCUGCUAAACGUCAAUGCACAUGGAGAAAAAAAAGAAAAUUGAAUAAGCCCUCCUUAAUCAUUCAUCACCGAGACCUUGCACUGGAAUCAAAAGAAAGAAGAAACAUUUGAAGGCUCUUAGAAAACGUUACAAAACAAAAGCAAAGUGGCAGCUGGAAGCAUAUGAUUCCUUCAUCCAUCCAUCAUCAAAAUGCCAAUACAUGUUUUUCAAAGAAAAAUGGAAAACCG
rnacentral:lncRNA from 1 species